rnacentral:rRNA from 1 species
GACGAACGCUGGCGGCGUGCUUAACACAUGCAAGUCGAACGGUGAACCUCUUCGGAGGGGAUCAGUGGCGAACGGGUGAGUAACACGUGGGCAACCUGCCCCCGGCUCUGGGAUAACUCCAAGAAAUUGGGGCUAAUACCGGAUGUUCACCGCUUCCCGCAUGGGUGGUGGUGGAAAGGGUUUCCGGCUGGGGAUGGGCCCGCGGCCUAUCAGCUUGUUGGUGGGGUAGUGGCCUACCAAGGCGACGACGGGUAGCCGGCCUGAGAGGGUGACCGGCCACACGGGGACUGAGAGACGGCCCAGACUCCUACGGGAGGCAGCAGGGGGGAAUAUUGCGCAAUGGGCGGAAGCCUGACGCAGCGACGCCGCGUGGGGGAUGACGGCCUUCGGGUUGUAAACCUCUUUCAGCAGGGACGAAGCGCAAGUGACGGUACCUGCAGAAGAAGCACCGGCUAACUACGUG